rnacentral:ncRNA from 1 species
AAAAAGUUUUAUUUUGACUUAAAUAAUUAAGUUAAUUACUAUUUAUAUGUAUAUUUUUGUGUGAAAAAAAGUAAACUUAAAAAGUUAUAUGAUUAGACGCAGUAUGUAAAUUUAGAAAAUUAUGAAAAUAAGAUUUAGAGAUAAUUUAUAGUUUUGACUAAUUUUGUGCCAGCAGUAGCGGUUAUACGAGAGAUGCAAUUAUUUAUUUUUAAUUUAUAGUUAAUUUAUUAUUAUAAUUAUUUAUUUGUGUAAUUUUUAAGUGAAAUUUUUAUUUUACAUUUAUUUUUAAUCAAUAUUAUUUUGAAGCUAUGAAAUUUUAGUAUUAAACUAGGAUUAGAUACCCUAUUAUUUUAAAAUGUUAAAUAUUAAUUAAGUUAUUAGCAGUUAUAAUCUUUAAAGCUUAAAAAUUUGGCGGUAUUUUAGUCUUAUCAGAGGAACCUGUCCUGUAAUCGAUAGUCCACGGUUAAUUGAACUUAUUUUAUUAGUUUGUAUAUCGUUGUAGUUGGAUAUUUUAUAAGAAUAAAAAUAUUCAUAAUUAAUUAAUAUUAAGAAAAUCAAAUCAAGGCGCAGCUUAUAAAUAAGAAUGAGAUGGGUUACAAUAAAUAAUAUUUAAAAUGGAUUUGUAAUUGAAAAUUACAAUAAAGGUGGAUUUGUAAGUAAUGAUAAAUAUUUUUUUAUUAUGAUUUUGGCUCUAAAAUAUGCACAUAUUGCCCGUCGCUUUCAAUUAAGUUGGAAUAAGUCGUAACAAAGUAGGUGUACUGGAAGGUGUUUCUGGAAUCC